GAGUGGAGCGUGUGUGACUGGAAUAAUCCAUGGGACAAAGACUGGCCAGGUCUGCAGGUGUGGCAGGAAAGCCAGGCAUUUCCAGGAUCAACAUCCCCUUAAGGAGGCAGGGAUUCUGAUCCACAUUCCUGACACACCUCCGGCCUCCCCUGACCGAGCAGGAAUGUACAGAAUUGCAAAGGAGACCAGAACUGGCAUUCAGAUCUGCAGCCUGUAUCCAAGCUGACCCUAUCAUGGAGUUCUCUACAGAUUUAGAUAGGUCAGAAAGCCUGGAUACAAAGGAUCGUCCCUGGGAAAUAACACCAUAUUGCAUAAUUAAGAUGCCCAGACAAUUCCCUUUUAAAAUUGCUAUUGCUUCUUGCACUUCUCAGGAACUCUCUGAAAUGAUUUGAUUUUUCCAAGAGGCAAUGAAGCUUGCAUCUGGUUUCUGUCUAAGGUGGUGCCUAGAAAGUCUAUAGUCAAGUCAAGUUUAUUUGUAUAACGUUUUUAAGAAGAGAAAUUGUUGCAAAGCAGCUUUAAAGAAAAUUAAAGACUUUAAACAUGAGCUAUUUUUAUCCCUAAUUUAUCCCUGGUGAACAAGCCUGUGGAAAUGGUGGCAAGGAAAAACUCCCUCAGACAACAUGAGGAAGGAAUCUUGAGAGGAACCAUACUCAAAAGGGUGAUAACAGAUAGCAUGAUUAUAAAUAAUUUGCUUCUAUAAUGGUGUUCUAUAUUGUCACAAAGUAUAACC